CGCGAGACCUGUGCCAAGGGUUUCAUUUCUGGUAUCGCGCGGCUGGCAAGCCGUGGCGCGGGCAUUAUGGCCGACUUUUCGGAGAGGUCAGUGCAGGUGGCCGUCGUCGUGUCCUUCCUGGCGGGUUUUGCAGCCGGCUGGCAGGCCAACAGAAUGCGGAGGAAGUUUCUGGACUGGCGGAAGAAGAGGCUGCAAGACAAACUGAGUGAGACGCAGAAGAAAAUCGACUUGGCCUGAACCACGGGUUCGUCAUCAAGGAACCGGGCACAAUAUUUGGUGUAAGACCGUGCGCUGCUCUCAGAGGAUGGCUGCCAGAUGUUCUACGUUGGCCACCGUCGAAGGAAGAAAAACAGGAAUGUCCGGCUGUCAUUCCUGGAUUCUUGACUACUGUCCAAACUGAAAAACACGCAGAACACGAAUGUAUCUUGUCUCAUUUUUCUCGGUGAAAUAAAUGCUCUGUGUUUUCUAUGAUUCACAGCACUGAAUAUGAAUAACAAUGCUGAGGGAUGUGUAAAUAAUACACAUUCAUUAACACAAAAAAAA